GAAAAACAUGCAAAAAACAAAAAAGUUGUCUUCUAUAUUUGCUUCUUCUCUAUUUCUUUUGAACUUUAACUUCACAAACACAACUACACAAAAGCUUUCCUAAGCAGAAAUAGCUUUUUUCCCUGCUAAGAGAGUAGACAGAAAUCAAAUUUACAGUUCCUGGCUGUUUGCUAUAUUGAGAAGAGGGAGCUUUUCAACACUCACAGUGCCAACCAAACUCUGAACCAGACACACACUCUCUGAUCUGUUUUGUCUUGUUUUGUUUUGUUUUCUUAAUUCACAUCCUGCUGUGGUUUGAAUGUGUCCCCCAAAGUUUAUGGGUUGGAAACUUAAUACUCAAAGCAAAAGUGUGGAGAGGUGGGACCUGUAAGAGGUGAUUAGAUCAUGAGAGCUCCACCCUCAUGAAUGGAUGAAUGCCUUUAUUGCAGCAGAAGGUUAGUUCUCACAGGAGUGGGCUCCUAAUAAAAGCAUAAGUUCAGCCCCCUUCUCCCACCUCUCUCUUUCAGGAGCUUGCACUCUCUUGCCUUUCUGCCUUGCACCAUGGGAGGACACAGCAAGAAGCUCUCACCGGAUGCUAGACCCUCAACCUUGGACUUCUCAGCCUCCAGAACCACGAGAAAUAAAUUUCUGUUUAUUGUAAAUUGCCCAGUCUCAAAUAUUAUGUGACAGCUGCACUAAACAGACUAAGAUGCUCCCUUAACAUAAACCACAGGGUUCCUAUGGAAAACAGGCAACAUGGAAUGUUUCAGGCAUUGUAAUCAUUGAAGGAAAGGAGAAACAAAAGGAGAGAUUGUGCUGAAGUGAACAGAGCACAGACUGUGACGGGAAUCUCACAAUCUUACCAACUUUGAGAUCAGGUAAGCGUCUUGUCUGGAGAUCAGAUAAGGGUCUUGAGAUCAGGAAAGGGUCUUGUAAAGAGCUUCUCUAUGGUAUAUUUCAAAUCUGAAAUUUUGGAUUCAGGUGAAAUAGUUAAAGAUCUGAGUUCUAAUCCACUGUGUCACUUUGAUUAUGUAGUGUACAAUGCCUUAAAUGCAUAUUUUCUUACUUAGUGUAACAGAAACACCAUAAGAGAGAUGUCUUUGAUAAUCUCCAGUAUGGAGGCACAUAAUUGAAAGUUCCAAAAGGUUGAAUAACUUAUGAAUAGUGAACAGCAAGUUAGAGUUUGAAUGCAUUUCUUUGGAAUUCAGAGCCUGUGUUUUUAUACUGUCACACUACCUCUUAUAUAUGCUUAUUCACUGAAUGUAAGUUGUAUUAUUUUCCCCACUGAUAUCUAUUCAGGCUUGCAUAAAAAGUUUCUCUUUUAUAAUUAGGGAAGCUAAAUAAACUCUAUAAAUUUAACAAAGAUUUUCUGAAUGAUAAUAUGGUGGGCACUGUACAUUGUAUUGGAGUACGACAGUAAACAAAAAAAAAUAUGGUACCCAAGUUUAUGGUUGAGAGGGAGACCCAUUAUUUUAAAGAAGUGUAAAAAUCUGUCCAAUUAAUGCUUCCCUAUCUUUUCAUUGUAAAUUAUCAGAAUUUAACUUUCACCAUUUGCCAAGCUAUUGUGCUGGAUGCUUUUAUACAUUAUUUCAUCUAAUCUAGGAAUCAAUUUUGUUUUUAUUUUACAAAAGAGGAAACGUGCCUAACUACUAUAUGCUUGUAUCAAUUUAUUCUCCCUCCAGCAUUGAAUAAAAAUGACUAAUUUUAUUGUAUCUUCUUCAGUAUUCAUUACUUUCCUUAGAAACUGCUAAUUUGAUAGAUUAAAAACUGUAAUUGUUUUCAUUAGGAUUUUUAUCUUAAUGAGGUUGGAAACCUGUUGAUAUAUCAGCAAAUAUUUAUUAGGCAGCUAUUAUUUACCAAGUAGUACACAUGGCAUAGAGGAUAAAAGAAAAAAAAAUGUUUGUUUUUUUUUUAAAUGAGAAAGUAAAAGAAAGUUUAUAGGCCUCACAGGUGAAGGUAAAUAGCCCCA
rnacentral:lncRNA from 1 species